rnacentral:rRNA from 1 species
UACGAAGGGGGCUAGCGUUGCUCGGAAUCACUGGGCGUAAAGCGCACGUAGGCGGAUUGUUAAGUCAGGGGUGAAAUCUCGGAGCUUAACUCCGAAACUGCAUUCGAUACUGCCGUGCUUGAGGACUGGAGAGGAGACUGGAAUUUACGGUGUAGCGGUGAAAUGCGUAGAUAUCGUAAGGAAGACCAGUGGCGAAGGCGGGUCUCUGGACAGUUCCUGACGCUGAGGCACGAAGGCCAGGGGAGCAAACGGG